rnacentral:rRNA from 1 species
UACGUAGGUGGCAAGCGUUGUCCGGAUUUAUUGGGUUUAAAGGGUGCGUAGGCGGCCCUGUAAGUCAGUGCUGAAAUAUCCCGGCUUAACCGGGAGGGUGGCAUUGAUACUGCGGGGCUAGAGUACAGAUGAGGUAGGCGGAAUUGACGGUGUAGCGGUGAAAUGCUUAGAUAUCGUCAAGAACACCUAUAGCGAAGGCAGCUUACUAGGCUGUAACUGACGCUGAGGCACGAAAGUUGUGGGGAUCAAACAGG